rnacentral:rRNA from 1 species
AUGGAAAUACUAUCCUGGAACUGCCGAGGACUUGGGAAUGCCCCGGCAGUACGUGCUUUGCUGGAUGUCCAGUGAAGAUGUAACCUCGAGGUGUUGUUCUUGUCGGAGACGCACCUCGAUAGCUAUCCGGCAGAGUGUCUAAGGAAGAUAUUGAAGAUGGACCAAAAGUUUGUCUGUCCAAGUAAUGGUAGAAGUGGAGGUUUACUUCUUUUU